AAAUUUUGCAAACAUUUAAAUUAUUUAUAAAAAUGUAUGAAGUAAAGUAAUAUUCGCUAGCGGAGCGAGCGAGAAAUUUUUGCAAUUUUCUACUUUCAAAACAUUCUUUGUCUCACUAAUAAGCGCUACGAGCCAUCUUGAUAUUCCGGCAUUGAGUGGAGUUAAAAUCAGU